UGAUGGAGAACAGAGUUAUGGAGACAGAGUUAUGGAGAACAGAAAAAAAAAAAAAAAGUUAUGGAGAACAGAGUUAUGGAGAACAGAAGUGUGGAGAACAGAGGUUAUGGAGGAAGGACAUAGUUAUUGAGGACAGAGUUAUGGAGAACAGAGUUAUCGAGAAACAGAGUGAUGGAGAAAGAGUUAUGGAUAACAGAGUUAGGGAGAACAGAGUUAUUGAGAACAGAGUUAUGGGAACAGGUUAUGGAGAACGAGUUAUGGAGAACAGAUUAUGGAGAACAGAGUUUUGGAGGACAGAGUUAUGGAGAACAGAUUAUGGAGAACAGAGUGAUGGAGAAAAUUAUGGAGAACAGAGUUAUGGAGAACAGAGUGAUGGAGAACAGAGUUAUGGAGAACAGAGUGAUGGAGAACAGAGUGUAUGGAGGACAGAGGUUAGUGGAGAACAGAGUUUUAUGGAGAACAGAGUGAUGGAGAACAGAGUUAUGGAGAACAGAGUUUAUGGAGAAACAGAGUGAUGAGUACGAGUGGAUGGAGAGCAGGAAAAAAGGUUUUUGGAGAACAGAGGUUAUGGAGAACAGAGUGAUGGAGAACAGAGUUAUGGAGAACAGAGUGAUGGAGAAAGAGUGAUGAGAACAGAGUUCUGGAGAACAGAUUAUGGAGAACAGAGUAUGGAGA
rnacentral:lncRNA from 1 species